UUGAAUUAGUUCGUGGUGCUGUGCUGGCCUUUCGGGGCAUGUGCACGCAUUGCAAUUAUUUCAUUAUCUUUUUGUGAACCAGUGUAGGCUUUGGUCCUUUGUCGGUGGAAGCUCUAGAGCGAUAACGCCGUUCGUAGGACUGGGUCUAUGAUUUAUAUAAACCUUUGUAUGUUUUUGAAUGUCUUUUAUUGGCCGCAAGGCUAGUAAAUCUAUA
rnacentral:misc_RNA from 1 species